CUGAGGAAGGAAGGAAGCAGGGUGAAGAGCCAGGAGGAGACCUGGAGGAGGCACAUGGAGCCGAGAGACACAACCCUUCUUUGAGCCUGGAUCCCAUCCCUCUCUCUGAUGAAGUAGACAUGAAAGCCAGUGGCUUUCAGCCUGAGCCUCUAGAAUUUGCAAUAUAUGUAAAAAGAACCAGUCACUGGAAAUCCAAGGACACUGGGAUAUAAUCAGGAGCACCAAAUGAGAGUUCCAUGGAGAAGAACAGGAAGAUUCGUGGAUGAUAAUGUUGGCUCUGGAGUGAUUACUGUUGAACCCAAGUGAGCAAUGAAAUCUACAGAUCAUAUCUCAGGUUAUCAUUGGCUCUUUCUGGCGCCAAAGGAAAUGCGGAUGACCUGAGAGCUACUGGUGUGGUGAGAGAGCGAGAUGGUUCAAUUUUCCAUCAUUGAUGUGGGAAGCUCAGAUUCAUCUGAUUUGCUGGUGAAUUAUGUAAAAGCAAGCACAUCUCACCACACUCAUUAUUUGUUUCCUUCUGAGGUGAGUGCAGAUUAGUU